GCGGGUGUAGCUCAGGGGUAGAGCACAACCUUGCCAAGGUUGGGGUCGAGGGUUCGAUCCACUCACCGCUC
rnacentral:tRNA from 1 species